UCGGGAAUAUUGGUCAAUGGGUGCGAGCCUGAACCAGCCAUGCCGCGUGCAGGAAGAAGGCCUUCUGGGUUGUAAACUGCUUUUACCAGGGGAUAAAAACGUUUUGCGAAACGGAUUGAAGGUACCUGGGGAAUAAGCCACGGCUAACUACGUGCCAGCAGCCGCGGUAAUACGUAGGUGGCGAGCGUUGUCCGGAUUUAUUGGGUUUAAAGGGUGCGUAGGCGGCUUAUUAAGUCAGUGGUGAAAGACGGCAGCUUAACUGUCGAGGUGCCAUUGAUACUGAUGAGCUAGAGUACUGAUGAGGUAGGCGGAAUGGACGGUGUAGCGGUGAAAUGCAUAGAUAUCGUCCAGAACACCGAUAGCGAAGGCAGCUUACUAAGGAGUAACUGACGCUGAGGCACGAAAGUGUGGGGAUCAAACA
rnacentral:rRNA from 1 species